CCGGCUAAAUGAAUCUUCGGUUCAAGGAGUUGGACGAGGAGGAGGAAGACAGCAGGAGCAAUACGUUUUAAUAAGGAUACAAAAACGCUACAGUCGAAUGGCGCCAGGACGAAGCACGGUCAGAGGAGGGAAUAAACGUGCAUUGAUCUGACACAGCCCAUCGGAGCUAACGCUACUUGCGUCAACAACAGCAGCAUAGAAACAGUGAGGACACUUACAAUGUCGGCUCUCAUUGGGAUGGCUGUGUCUUCCAGCACGAGACGUGUGCUCCACUCCUCAGCCAAGAAGAUAAGAAGUCCUGUUUUUGCUGCUUUGACUUGACAGCCAAACCUGCAGCAGCACACAAGAGAGUAUAUUUAUAUUGUUGAG